AGAGUUUGAUCAUGGCUCAGGACGAACGCUGGCGGCGUGCUUAACACAUGCAAGUCGAACGGUAAGGCCCUUCGGGGUACACGAGUGGCGAACGGGUGAGUAACACGUGGGUGAUCUGCCCCCUACUCUGGGAUAAGCCUGGGAAACUGGGUCUAAUACUGGAUAUGACCUUGAGCUUCAUGGUUCUUGGUGGAAAGUUUUUCGGUAGGGGAUGAGCCCGCGGCCUAUCAGCUUGUUGGUGGGGUAAUGGCCUACCAAGGCGACGACGGGUAGCCGGCCUGAGAGGGCGACCGGCCACACUGGGACUGAGACACGGCCCAGACUCCUACGGGAGGCAGCAGUGGGGAAUAUUGCACAAUGGGCGCAAGCCUGAUGCAGCGACGCCGCGUGGGGGAUGACGGCCUUCGGGUUGUAAACCCCUUUCAGUCGGGACGAAGAGCAAUUGACGGUACCGAUAGAAGAGGCACCGGCCAACUACGUGCCAGCAGCCGCGGUAAUACGUAGGGUGCGAGCGUUGUCCGGAAUUACUGGGCGUAAAGAGCUCGUAGGCGGCUUGUCGCGUUGUCCGUGAAAAUUUACAGCUCAACUGUGAACUUGCGGGCGAUACGGGCAGGCUAGAGUACUGCAGGGGAGACUGGAAUUCCUGGUGUAGCGGUGAAAUGCGCAGAUAUCAGGAGGAACACCGGUGGCGAAGGCGGGUCUCUGGGCAGUAACUGACGCUGAGGAGCGAAAGCGUGGGGAGCGAACAGGAUUAGAUACCCUGGUAGUCC
rnacentral:rRNA from 1 species